AGAGUUUGAUCAUGGCUCAGAACGAACGCUGGCGGUGUGGAUAAGACAUGCAAGUCGGACGAGAUUUCGUCCUGUAGCAAUAUGGGAUGAAGUCUAGUGGCGAACGGGUGCUUAACACGUGCGCAAACUGCCGAGAAGUGGGGGAUAGCUCGCCGAAAGGCGAAUUAAUACCGCAUGUGAUCAGAGAGGACAUCCUUUCUGAAAUUAAAGCUGGAGCAACCUACCGCUUCUUGUGGGGCCCGCGGCCUAUCAGCUAGUUGGUGAGGUAACGCCUCACCAAGGCUUUGACGGGUAGCUGGUCUGAGAGGACGACCAGCCACACUGGGACUGAGACACGGCCCAGACACCUACGGGUGGCAGCAGUCGAGAAUUUUUCUCAAUGGGGGAAACCCUGAAGGAGCGACGCCGCGUGGAGGAUGAAGGUCUUCGGAUUGUAAACUCCUGUCAUUGGGGAUCAAGGUGCAUACGUUAACUGCGUGUGCAUUGAUAGUACCCGAAGAGGAAGAGACGGCUAACUCUGUGCCAGCAGCCGCGGUAAUACAGAGGUCUCAAGCGUUGUUCGGAUUCAUUGGGCGUAAAGGGUGCGUAGCCGGCGCGGUAAUUCGGGUGUGAAAUCUUGGAGCUUAACUCCGAAACUGCAUUCGAUACUGCCGUGCUUGAGGACUGGAGAGGAGACUGGAAUUUACGGUGUAGCGGUGAAAUGCGUAGAUAUCGUAAGGAAGACCAGUGGCGAAGGCGGGUCUCUGGACAGUUCCUGACGCUGAGGCACGAAGGCCAGGGGAGCAAACGGGAUUAGAUACCCCAGUAGUCC
rnacentral:rRNA from 1 species